AAACAAAAACGUUGAUGAUGAUGAUGAUGAUGAUGAGGAGUCAUCAUCAUCAUCAUCAUCAUUACCUGAA
rnacentral:sRNA from 1 species